rnacentral:snRNA from 1 species
UGGUGAUCUGGCUGUGACAUCUGUCACCCCAUUGAUCGCAAGGGUUGAUUCAGCUGCUAUGGCUGGCUAGGCGGGGUGUCCCCUUCCUCCCUCACCGCUCCAUGUGCCUCCUUCCUAAAGCUGCGUGCUUGCGCUCGCUCGAAGAGGAUGGCCUUCCCCGAAUAGAGACGGACCGGUCUUCGGCCGAGGGUAUACGAGUAGCUGUGCUCCCCUGCUAGAUCCUCCAAACAAGCUCUCAAAAUAAUAUUGCUGAAAAAAUUAAUUCAAAAUUUAUAAUGAAAAAAUUGCAGCUUAAGUAUAUAGUGCAUAUUUU